rnacentral:rRNA from 1 species
UGGGGAAUAUUGCACAAUGGGCGCAAGCCUGAUGCAGCCAUGCCGCGUGUGUGAAGAAGGCCUUCGGGUUGUAAAGCACUUUCAGCGAGGAGGAAGGUGGUGAGCUUAAUACGCUCAUCAAUUGACGUUACUCGCAGAAGAAGCACCGGCUAACUCCGUGCCAGCAGCCGCGGUAAUACGGAGGGUGCAAAGCGUUAAUCGGAAUUACUGGGCGUAAAAGCGCACGCAGGCGGUUUGUUAAGUCAGAUGUGAAAUCCCCGGGCUCAACCUGGGAACUGCAUUUGAAAACUGGCAAGCUAGAGUCUCGUAGAGGGGGGUAGAAUUCCAGGUGUAGCGGUGAAAUGCGUAGAGAUCUGGAGGAAUACCGGUGGCGAAGGCGGCCCCCUGGACGAAGACUGACGCUCAGGUGCGAAAAGCGUGGGGAGCAAAACAGGAUUAGAUACCCUGGUAGUCCACGCUGUAAAACGAUGUCGAUUUUGGAGGUUGUGCCCUUGAGGCGUGGCUUCCGGAGCUAACGCGUUAAAAUCGACCGCCUGGGGAGUACGGCCGC